GUAUGGCAGUUUGAGAGACACAAUCUUCCUCGUGUUCAACUGCCUACAUUUGACCGCCUGCCCGAACUGGCCAUCUCCGAGCACCUUCAGAGGCAGCGCUUCAGCGGGAGUCGGCUUCACUCCAACAUCUGGACAUGGUUUCAGUGACGAGCCUCUACCACUGUCCUUCCUGGUGGCACAAGAAGUUUAAGAUUACAAUAGAAGUCAAACAAAAAUACCUCAAUUCCAUCAAAGGAGCUAAAUAACCUUCAAUAUCCAGUAACGAUGGUCAGCCUGGGGUCAGCCUGACCUCGGUCCACCUUCUGGGGCUCAAUGCAGGUCCAUUAUGUCCCUCCGGAGAGCUCUGGUGCGCUGGAGAAUGGGCCAAAUGCAGCGCAGCACCUGGCUCUCUCUCAUCAGCUCGUCAUUGUGGAGUCUGGAUUAAGCGUGACAGAGGCCUGACCGGAGCGAGCGCUAAUGCACUCAGCACCUGCAGUUUAUCAGGCGGCGCGCGGAUGACACUGGAGGAUACUGUCUGUGAUGUAGCGAGGAGACUGGAGAGUGUCAGGCGCCCGCUUUUCCAUCAACAAGAGAGGGCUAUUAGCGAACAGGAGCAACUGAGGAAGAGGACACCUGGACCUGGAAUGGAUUUGAUAC